CAGAAUUGCUGGACUCUAUAAUCUGUGACCAUCAUUGCUGACUUUGGAGGUGGUAACUUGGCUUAUCUUGGAGAGCCUUGUUAAGUGGUUGUCCAGCUUUUCCCUCUCGCUUCUAGAAGAAUGCUUGGAAUGUCUGAUUUUAUUGUUAACAUGAUCAAGAUCUUAAUGAAGAAAACCAAGGGUUGUCACUUGAGAAAUCUCUUGACCACAAGACUGAGUAUUGUAUGGCAGAGGCAUAUACACAUUAAAGACAUCUUAAUAAAGAUGCAAAGGAAAGCAAAACAACCCAAGACACAUCUUAGAAGAAGACAAAACGGCAGGCAACUGGUCAUUUGACCCUCUGAAGGCAAAAAAUAAACAUUUUUACAUGGAAAGAAUAAGUCAUGUUAAAGAAAGAAGGGAUGGAAUGGGGACCGUUGUGUUGAGAGAAGACGCUGACCUGCUCGAAUUCAAAGUGCUAGAAUUAAAGGUCUAAAACGAAAACGCCGAGGAUGCCUCCGAGCAGAACCCUGCGCGCGCCAGGGGCGCCUGCCUCAGUCCUCCUUGCGCUCCAGAGUCUGUGCCGCGUGGAUGCCGUUGCUGUAGACCGGGAAGGGCAGCGUGGAGAAGAGUCCCUCGGCCGUGGUGAACACGUUGCCCGCGGGCAUCUGCGUGAGGCUGGCCGCGCUCACCGCGCCGCCGAAAGGUCCUGACAUGUUGAGCCUGUGCACGUGGUGGUAGAGCAUCUCCAUGGGCGUCUUGGGGUCGAGGCCGAAGCCGGGGCUGUUAACGUCCACGAAGUUAACAGCGUGCGCAUUGGGUAGCAGGUUGCCCUGCAUGGCCAGGGUCACCUCGGCUGGCGCGUAGCGGAUGGUGCCCGUGGUGUAGACCCUCUGCGCGGCUGUGCUGGUGGCGGCCAGGGUGCCGGUCACCCGGUGCACCAGAGGGAGGAC
rnacentral:lncRNA from 1 species